UUUCUACUCCCUCCGUCCGAAAAUACUUUUCAUCAAAAUGGAUAAAAAGAGAUGUAUCUAAAACUAAAAUACGUCUAGAUACAUUUCCUUUUAUCCAUUUUGAUGACAAGUAUUUUCGGACGGGGGAGUAUUUG
rnacentral:pre_miRNA from 1 species